AGUGAACGCUGGCGGUAGGCCUAACACAUGCAAGUCGAACGGCAGCACAGUAAGAGCUUGCUCUUACGGGUGGCGAGUGGCGGACGGGUGAGGAAUACAUCGGAAUCUACUUUUUGGUGGGGGAUAACGUAGGGAAACUUACGCUAAUACCGCAUACGACCUACGGGUGAAAGCAGGGGAUCUUCGGACCUUGCGCGAUUGAAUGAGCCGAUGUCGGAUUAGCUAGUUGGCGGGGUAAAGGCCCACCAAGGCGACGAUCCGUAGCUGGUCUGAGAGGAUGAUCAGCCACACUGGAACUGAGACACGGUCCAGACUCCUACGGGAGGCAGCAGUGGGGAAUAUUCGACAAUGGGCGCAAGCCUGAUCCAGCCAUACCGCGUGUGUGAAGAAGGCCUUCGGGUUGUAAAACCCUUUUGUUGGGAAAGAAAAGCAGCAGGUUAAUACCCCGCUGUUCUGACGGUACCCAAAGAAUAAGCACCGGCUAACUUCGUG
rnacentral:rRNA from 1 species